rnacentral:misc_RNA from 1 species
GGGAAAGAGAGGCAAAGACGUGGAAACUGGAUUAUCUUGCAUCUCCUUCAGAUAUGGCUUUAGCCGAUAGUGACAACAGAAAUUAUAUUAUCCUCUAAUUUUUUUUUUAAAUUUUUUAUACUGUUUACAAGUCCUCUCUGUGUUUGUCUCUUCGUACUUGCUUCUAGUGUUACCAUUCUGAGCUUCCAUGGCAUUGUCUUUGUCUACACAUCGCCACAACAUCUUUGUUCUUUCCACGAGCAAAACCAUAGCCAUUGGCCAUGGAAGAACCAAAUCAAGAAGAGCAGAUUCGAUGGUUGUUAAGUUGGCUGUGGCCUACGAAGAGGGACGGUUAAAAAGGCCCAAGUGGGGAGGAGAGACCCCUCUCUCUCGUCUUGUUGGAGCUCUCAUUUCCUUCAAGCCAUUAUCUGCACUGCUCAAGCUUGGUGCCAGACAAGUUCUUAUCAGCACAGCUGAGAAGAACAACAUUCCAUGGAGAGAAAUGAGGAGAGAGAUUCUGGAAUCAGAUGUGUAUAAGGAGAUAGAGAGCAUUCAAAACCCCUCAAUUAUAUACCCUGAUUGUGACCAUCUGAACUUAUGGCAUUCCAAAUUUAAUGCUUUUCUUGCUUGUAUAUGGUUUCUUGGUUGUAGACUUUUAAUACAUGAUGUACACAUUUUUUCUUCGAUUGUGAAUUUUUCAGAUUAUCUCAAUCCUUUCCAUGCAUAUGAUGAGGGAAAUCUUUCAUGGCUCGCUGCAGCAGAAGCAGAACCUGCAACCAUGUCAAUUGCGAGAAGAGCAAUGCCUAAUGCUUCCUCACCAGAAGAAGCAAAUCAAGUAAUGCGUGGAAAUUGGCUUCAAGCAAUUCAACAACAUCAUCUACAGCAUUCUGGAAAUUCCAUGAUAAGUGACAUUCUAGAUAUUGGAUGCUCUGUAGGUGUCACCACAAGAUUUCUUGCUGACAACUUUCCUUUGGCAAAAGUCACUGUGUGUUCAGUUUUCCUACCUUAAUGAGUUCUCUUAACAGUUGGGCAAUAUGAUAGACUUAAUCAAAAUUAAAAUGCUUCCAAAUUAUGAAUCACAAAACUCGUUUAGUUGUUAAUAUGUGGAUGUGCACCUCACAUUAUUUGUCUCAAUGAACUGCUGCAGGGCCUUGAUCUGUCUCCUUACUUUCUUUCCGUAGCUCAAUUCAAGGAAAAGAAG